UCCUAUGGGGCCUCCCACUGGCAUUGAAACGUCCCAUGGGGCGUCUCAAUAGGUCAGACAGAAAGUUCAGCUUUUUAUUUUGGUCUCAGGAUCUCAGAGAUCGUCCCAAAUGGAUCGUCUCAAUCACAUGGGUCAUCCCAGGUGGAUCAUCCCACUACGUGCCAUGAACCAAAAUGAAGCGUGCCGGUUGUCCAACAAAAGAUGAUGACCCAGAUGGAUCGUCUCAUUCUGUUCCAACCUAAUUUUUCAUAUAUUUAAGAUCUAAAACUUAUCAGAACAC
rnacentral:lncRNA from 1 species